GCUCCAACCAACUCCGGUGCUCGAGUGAACAACUCGAUGCAAUCGGCCAGCGAAUUCGAACGAAAGAUACACGGCUGCAAAUAAUGGGUAUUAUUCACAGUUUAUGCACUAAAAAUGCAGCAGAUAGUUAUUGAAAUGAAAGAGGCUUCUUGCCAUUUUGCGAUGUCAGCUGAACUCGACGACAAACAUGCUCAAGCACUGGCGAUUUCCCCCCAUUUCUACCCCCUUCCCACCUGUGCAGACUUAAAGGUUUUUUACAUUUAUUUUUUACUAUUUCG